AGCUGUGAUUUCUCAAGAACUGAACACUUUGUUCAUAGCCAAGUGAGGAAGCAAGGUCACAGGGUGUUUGCCGGUACAAGUUGAAAGUACUGAAAGACAACAGAGAAGACCCAUUUUCCAGCAGCCAUUGGAGUACAUCCACAUGACCAGCAAAGGCUGCAAGGUGAACGCGCCGUAAAUUUCAUCACAUUGCGGUGCUAUGAAAGGGAAGUGUUUGGAGAUUACGUAAAUGGCUGAAGUGUGUUUUUCACAAAAGCAGUAAUAUACCAAUAAAAAGUCACGACAGACAAACUCUCGAUAUAUUGAGCACAAAGAUGAGAACGAAGACACUCUGGCGUCUGAACUGUAUUUCAGUGUUAACAGUAAAGCGGAAAUGUAUAAAAAAUGAUCAAUGUUGUUGCUACCUUGCUUGUAUUUGGGGUUAGUUAUUAGCAACCGACACUGGAGAUCAUGUGGACGAUAUUGCAAUAAGAACUCUUGAGAGUUCACUUAUUAGAAACAGCACAGCUUUCUUGAUGUUACCAGCCCAGCUUAGACAAAAGUAAGAGUAGGAUACAAAAAUAAACUUCUAAUCACUGUAGAAUGACCAAUCAGUUAUUCUUUUGGAGACUAGAAAGUGAAACGGACUGACUUUUCGAUCUGGAAUAAAUUACGGAAAAUGUGUCUCAAAGGUGUUUGAAAAAUUCAGGGUAAACUAUCCUUAAU